rnacentral:rRNA from 1 species
GACGAACGCUGGCGGCGUGCCUAACACAUGCAAGUUGAGCGACGAACCAGGGCUUUCCCUGGGGCAAAGCAGCGAACGGGUGAGUAACACGUGGGUAACCUACCCCGAUAACCGGGACAACCCGAGGAAACUCGGGCUAAUACCGGAUGUGCUCACUGUACUUCGGUUCGGUUCGUAAAGGAAAGUUCGGCCUCCGUAUCCGUAUGGGCCCGCGCCCCAUGAGUUUGUUGGUUGGGUAACGGCUCACCAAGACCGCGAUGGGUAGCUGGUCUGAGAGGACGAUCAGCCACACUGGGACUGAGACACGGCCCAGACUCCUACGGGAGGCAGCAGUGGGGAAUCUUGCGCAAUGCGCGAAAGCGUGACGCAGCAACGCCGCGUGGGGGAAGAAGGCCUUCGGGUUGUAAACCCCUUUCAGGAGGGAAGAAGGUUCGGCGGUGAAUAGACGCCCGGCCUGACGGUACCUAAACAAGAAGCCACGGCUAACUACGUG